CAUCAAUAAAAUUAACACAUGUGUAUGCGAUUUCCUAGGCAGACGGCACUUGGGAAGAACACACGCCCGGCCCUUAUGUAGCUGAAAAUAUCUUGAUUUUCAUUGCCCUUUGCUUGCUUGUUGAUUGAUUAUUUGCUGUGGACGGCACACGCCCUAGAGCAGUCCCUUUGCAAACCUUUUCCUGGAGACGGCAGCCACAGGGAACCUUCAGGGAGAGACCCAUGCUGACAUCCAGCCAGGCUGAGGGCAGAACCCAGGGAGCCCAGCGGAACCUCUGCAGCAGAGCCCCGCCAGGGGGCCCAGACCUCACCAUGCUCCAGCCCGCACUUCUCCUGGGUGUCGUCUCUGAUCUUCGCGAUGUCCUCUGCUGGCUUCUACGAGGUCGGCACCGACCCCACAGACAGCUCGAUGGGCUUCAUUGGGCGACUCAGUGAGGAGAAGGCAGAGGACGAGGGAGGCACCAGGUGACCCAAGGCCGCCCCGAGACAGCAGGGCAGCGUGUUUAGCACAGGGCCGGCAUCGAACAGCAGCAGCCCAGCAGCAGACUAAAAUCUCCUGACUGAAAGCUGGGAAGAGAAGCAUCAAGACGGUGUCCCGAGUGGGUCUUGAUUAAUAGGAUGAACGCUGGAACUCAGAAGCCACAAGGACUCAGUCAUGGCCGUGACAGCAGCUUGGCCACGUGCCCAGGCGGUGACUUCCAGGCCACCACGGAUGGCGCGGAGCAGCCUGCGGGGGGGGAGUUGUUUGCUGGCUUGAAACCAGUGGUUCCUGGGUUUAGAUCAACAAUUUACUCAUGAACCUCUUCAGCUGAUGCUUAGGUCAGGGCAGGACCCUGCUUGUGAUAUAACCUGGCUUCUAUCUACCAUGUUCACAGAGCUAGAAAUUAGAGUAGAGAAAAGUUUCAAUUAUUUAUUUGUUAAUUCAUUAAAAAUUGAUAAUAACAAAGCCAUUACAUUUUAGCACUGGCAGCAUUUCUUUUGGAGACAGGGUCUCACUAUGUAGCUCAGGCUGGCCUUGAACUCACUCUGUAGCCCAGGAUGGCCUCGAAUGCAC
rnacentral:lncRNA from 1 species